rnacentral:rRNA from 1 species
AGCGAACGCUGGCGGCAGGCCUAACACAUGCAAGUCGAACGAACCCUUCGGGGUUAGUGGCGGACGGGUGAGUAACACGUGGGAACGUGCCUUUAGGUUCGGAAUAACUCAGGGAAACUUGUGCUAAUACCGAAUGUGCCCUUCGGGGGAAAGAUUUAUCGCCUUUAGAGCGGCCCGCGUCUGAUUAGCUAGUUGGUGAGGUAAUGGCUCACCAAGGCUACGAUCAGUAGCUGGUCUGAGAGGAUGACCAGCCACAUUGGGACUGAGACACGGCCCAAACUCCUACGGGAGGCAGCAGUGGGGAAUUUUGCGCAAGGGGCGAAAGCCUGACGCAGCCAUGCCGCGUGGAUGAUGAAGGUCUUAGGAUUGUAAAAUCCUUUCACCGGUGAAGAUAAUGACUGUAGCCGGAGAAGAAGCCCCGGCUAACUUCGUGCCAGCCGCCGCCGUAAUAC